rnacentral:rRNA from 1 species
UACGUAGGGUGCAAGCGUUAAUCGGAAUUACUGGGCGUAAAGCGUGCGCAGGCGGUUUUGUAAGUCUGACGUGAAAUCCCCGGGCUCAACCUGGGAAUUGCGUUGGAGACUGCAAGGCUGGAGUCUGGCAGAGGGGGUAGAAUUCCACGUGUAGCAGUGAAAUGCGUAGAGAUGUGGAGGAACACCGAUGGCGAAGGCAGCCCCCUGGGUCAAGACUGACGCUCAUGCACGAAAGCGUGGGGAGCAAACAGG